rnacentral:rRNA from 1 species
AUUGAACGCUGGCGGCAGGCCUAACACAUGCAAGUCGAACGAGUGGCGGACGGGUGAGUAAUGUCUGGGAACCUGCCUGAUGGAGGGGGCUAACUACUGGAAACGGUAGCUAAUACAGCAUACCAUCGGAUGUUCCCCGGUGGGAUUUGCUAGUAGGUGGGGUAAAGGAUCACCUAGGCGCAGAGCCAUCGCUGGUCUGAGAGGAUGACCAGCCACACUGUAACUGAGACACGUUCCAGACUCCGACGGGAGGAAGCAGUGGGGACUAUUGCACAAUGGGCGCAAGCAUGAUGCAGCCAUGCCGCGUGUAUGAAGAAGGCCUUCGGGUUGUAAAGUACUUUCAGCGGGGAGGCGUUACCCGCAUAAGAAGCACCGGCUAACUCCGUGCCAGCAGCCGCGGUAAUAC